UAGGGAAUCUUCGGCAAUGGGGGCAACCCUGACCGAGCAACGCCGCGUGAGUGAAGAAGGUUUUCGGAUCGUAAAGCUCUGUUGUAAGUCAAGAACGAGUGUGAGAGUGGAAAGUUCACACUGUGACGGUAGCUUACCAGAAAGGGACGGCUAACUACGUGCCAGCAGCCGCGGUAAUACGUAGGUCCCGAGCGUUGUCCGAAUUUAUUGGGCGUAAAGCGAGCGCAGGCGGUUUGAUAAGUCUGAAGUUAAAGGCUGUGGCUCAACCAUAGUUCGCUUUGGAAACUGUCAAACUUGAGUGCAGAAGGGGAGAGUGGAAUUCCAUGUGUAGCGGUGAAAUGCGUAGAUAUAUGGAGGAACACCGGUGGCGAAAGCGGCUCUCUGGUCUGUAACUGACGCUGAGGCUCGAAAGCGUGGGGAGCGAACAGGAUUAGAUACCCUGGUAGUCCACGCCGUAAACGAUGAGUGCUAGGUGUUGGAUCCUUUCCGGGAUUCAGUGCCGCAGCUAACGCAUUAAGCACUCCGCCUGGGGAGUACGACCGCAAGGUUG
rnacentral:rRNA from 1 species